rnacentral:lncRNA from 1 species
AAACGUUUUUCUAGACGCUUUUGGUCGAAUUUCAUUAUACAUUUCGAUAACCUAAGUUUAGAGGCUAUAAAUUUGACUUCCCAAAUUUUGAAAUGAAAAGUGGCAACAAAUAUAAUUUAUUUGAUUAUAUUAGCAACUUUUUAUUAACUUUAUUACGUUUUCAUUAUUUUUAACUUACUAAAAGUUUUUUCUAGAAGCUUUUGGAUAAAAUUCAUUCUAUAUUUCUCUUUAAAAAUAACAUAAGUUUAGAUGCAAUAAAGUUCGACUUGCCCAAUCUGAAUAGAGAAGUGUCACCAAAUAUAAUUCAUUUGAUUAAAUUAGCAACUUUAUAUCAACAUUAUUACGUUCUCAUUCUAUAUAGCCAAUUAAAACGUUUUUGUAGACGCUUUCGGUCGAAUUUCAUUACACGUUUCGAUAACAUAAGUUUAGAGGCUAUAAAUUCGACUUCCCUAAUUUUGAAUUCAAAAGUGGCACCAAAUAUAAUUUAUUUGAUUAUAUCAGCAACUUUUUAUCAACUUUAUUACGUUUUCAUUAUUUAUAACUAACUAACAGUUUUUUCUAGACGCUUUUGGAGGAAAUUCAUUCUAUAUUUCUCUUUUAAAUAACAUAAGUUUAGAUGCAAUAAAGUUCGACUUGCCCAAUCUGAAUAGAGAAGUGUCACCAAAUAUAAUUCAUUUGAUUAAAUUAGCAACUUUAUAUCAACAUUAUUAUGUUCUCAUUCUAUAUAGCCAAUUAAAAGGUUUUUCUGGACGCUUUUGGACGAAUUUCAUUACACAUUUCGAUAACAUAAGUUUAGAGGCUAUAAAUUCGACUUCCCCAAUUUUGAAUUCAAAAGUGGCACCAAAUAUAAUUUAUUUGAUUAUAUUAGCAACUUUUUAUCAACUUUAUUACGUUUUCAUUAUUUAUAACUAACUAACAGUUUUUUCUAGACGCUUUUGGAUGAAAUUCAUUAUAUAUUUCUCUUUCAAAACAACAUAUGUUUAGAUACAAUAAAGUUCGACUUGCCCAAUCGAAUAGAGAAGUGUCACCAAAUAUAAUUCAUUUGAUUAAAUUAGCAACUUUAUACAACCAUUAUUACGUUCUCAUUCUAUAAAGCUAAUUAAAACGUUUUUCUAGACGGUUUUGGUCGAAUUUCAUU